CACGUAGUUGGCCGGUGCUUCUUCUCCCACUACCGUCACUUUCGCUUCGUCAUGGGUGAAAGAGGUUUACAACCCGAAGGCCGUCAUCCCUCACGCGGCGUUGCUGGAUCAGGCUUUCGCCCAUUGUCCAAUAUUCCCCACUGCUGCCUCCCGUAGGAGUCUGGGCCGUGCCUCAGUCCCAGUGUGGCCGGUCACCCUCUCAGGCCGGCUACCCGUCGAAGCCUUGGUAGGCCAUUACCCCACCAACAAGCUGAUAGGCCGCGAGCCCAUCCACCACCGCCGAAACUUUCCACCACCAUCCAGAUGCCUGAGAUGGUCGUAUCCGGUAUUAGCACCGGUUUCCCGGAGUUAUCCCGAAGUGAUGGGCAGAUUGCUCACGUGUUACUCACCCGUUCGCCGCUCGUGUACCUCCGAAGAGGCCUUACCGCUCGACUUGCAUGUGUUAAGCUACGCCGCCAGCGUCGUCC
rnacentral:rRNA from 1 species